rnacentral:rRNA from 1 species
AGAGUUUGAUCCUGGCUCAGGAUUAACGCUGGCGGCAUGCCUAACACAUGCAAGUCGAAUGUGCCCCUCACUCUGUUCCGCAGUAAUUUUAUUAUUGGGCGAUAGAGUGAGGGACAACAUGGCAGACGGCUGAGUAACACGUGGGUAUCUACCCUUGGGUCGGGUAUAACUCCGCGAAAGCGGAGAUAAUUCCCGAUAUGUCCCGCCAAUUUAGGGCUGGUGUAUCAAAUUUACCAAGCUAUUUAUGUUUAAUGUAAAAUAACUUGGUAGAUGAUCUAUACGAACCUCAAAUUGGCGGGAUGAAAGAUUUAUCGCCCGAGGAGGAACCUGCGUCCGAUUAGCUUGUUGGUGGGGUAAUGGCCUACCAAGGCUAUGAUCGGUAACUGGUCUGAGAGGAUGACCAGUCAGACUGGGACUGAGACACGGCCCAGACUCCUACGGGAGGCAGCAGUGAGGAAUUUUCCACAAUGGGCGAAAGCCUGAUGGAGCAAUGCCGCGUGCAGGAAGACGGCCUUCGGGUUGUAAACUGCUUUUAUAAAUGAAGAUUAUGACGGUAAUUUAUGAAUAAGGACCUGCUAACUACGUGCCAGCAGCCGCGGUAAUACGUAGGGUUCGAGCGUUAUCCGGAUUCACUGGGCGUAAAGAGUUCGUAGGCGGAUGAACAAGUCUACUGUUAAAGACCCUAGCUCAACUGGGGGAAAGUGGUAGAAACUAUUUAUCUAGAGAGUGGUAGAGGCAGAUGGAAUUCUCGGUGUAGGAGUUAUAUCCGUAGAUAUCGAGAAGAACACCAAAGGCGUAGGCAGUCUGCUGGGCCAUCUCUGACGCUGAGGAACGAAAGCGUGGGGAGCGAACGGGAUUAGAUAAAUCCGUCACCGCUCGUAAAAUAUAGUGACAAAGGGUGUCCCUCUUGAUGGCAACAUCAAGAUGAGCAUUCAGCUGUAUCGGGGGAACCCCAUAACAUAUGAGCUACCGGCUCGUUAUGGACAAUCCCGAGGGAAGUCCUCCGAAUUAUAUCGGAGUGACCCCGUAGAGACUAUGAAGUUGAUUGUGACAGAGGGUGUAAAAUUAUUCGCUUAUGAACAAAUACACACCC